CGCGCGCAGAGGCGGAGCCGCUCCGACGCCGAGAGGGGGGACCCAAGGAGCCGCCAGGGAGCGCUCGGGAGCAGCGCCGCGGCGGGGCGCCGUCCCGCCCUCCCAGCCGCCCCCGGAUCCUCCGAGAACGCCUGAGGCGGAGCCAGCGUCCGCCCUUCCCAGGUCACCUUGGAAAGGGUUCGCUUUCGUUUCCGCAAAGUAGGCGCCGCGCUUUCAGGACCGGUGGCUCCUGUGGAGUCCGCGGCUGAGCCGGGUCCGCCUUCGCACGCGUCGGGGCCAAAGGCGGCCCCGACACUCAGGGCGCGCGCCCGGGUAGCCCGUGCUGUGGAGACCGAAGCCGACGCGCCCGAGGCUCCCGUGUAGGCCGUGUAACCAGUGACCGGAAGUGGAGCCGGCUGCUCCAGUGGCGCAAUCGCCCUUUUAGAACCAAGCAACACCCAUUACCAAGGAAAUCCGUUGGCUGCAGACUUACGUGGACCCUUCUGUCUCCACUUUGCAUGCGAGCUCAGAAUUGUCUUCGAAGCAGCGGAGUACGGAAUCCCGGACCUCCCCUAAGGGCAGACACCGGAAUGCUGAUGCGGCUACAGCAGCGCUCGCCCACCUCGGUCCGUCUCUUCCCAAACCCCGAGAGGAAGGCGGUGGGCAGCUUGUGCACGCGUGCGAGUGCGUGCUUGGCCGAAUGCUGGAGGGGAAACAUGAGUUGCAGUCACUCUUAUAGGAAGGAGGAUUAAAGUUUCCACUUUUAACUCCAGCUGGGUGAUCACUCCUAAUGUUGAGUACUCCCGCCGCGCUGGAAAGUGAACGUCUCCCCGAGUGCAGCUGGUGCUGCCGCUCCCACUGCAGUCGACUAUUAGGUUGUCACCCUCCUGCCUCUCCUGCUUUCCCUGGUCAGAGUUAGUUAAUUCAUCUAUUCCUCCUGCGGAUGCAUAGGCAAUGAGCACUGCAGGCCAACUUCAGUGCCCAAAGCUGUGGAGGCAGUAAUGGAAAAACAUGGUUUUAUUUCUACGGAACUUGAUAUUACAAGUAACUAAUUACCAUGAUGACGCGUUCUGAGAAAGUAUGGAAUUCCCAUGGAAGUACAUGGCACCAGGCUAUUGACUCUUGGGAAUAUUGCUAGCCCAGGUUCCUCUCACUGGACAGAGAGACCACGAGGAGCAGUCAUUAAGGCUGGAAUCUCAAGGUUUUUCUCAUCUCAUGCUCUGGAAACUUGUGAGUACUUGGUUGAAAAAGCUCAGGAGAAUUGAUUAACACUGGAAUUCGAAAGAGGAAAAAAUGGGAGGGAAGAUAGUAAUCCACUUAUUUUGCUCAUGCUGGCUAAAUUAAAAUAUUUCCUCAGAAUAACUGUUUUGUUGGCUUUUGUGGCCAAGUCUGAAAGUGGAAACCCACUCCCAUACCCCAUUUCAUACUAGCUUCCUGAACCUCACAGAGACUCAACUUGCUUGGUAUUCUCAAAGUGUG
rnacentral:lncRNA from 1 species